AUCGAUGAAGAACGCAGCGAAAUGCGAUAAGUAAUGUGAAUUGCAGAAUUCAGUGAAUCAUCGAAUCUUUGAACGCACCUUGCGCCCUUUGGUAUUCCGAAGGGCAUGCCUGUUUGAGUGUCAUUAAAUUCUCAAACCUUGAUCAGUUUUGCGCUGACUUCAAGGCUUUGGAUGUGGGAGUCUUUUGCUGGAACUCUUUUGGAUCAGCUCUCCUUAAAUGCAUUAGCGGUUACUUGAUCCCCUUUCCUUGGUGUGAUAAUUAUCUACGCCUUUGAAAUGAUCAGCAUUGUAUCAGCUUCUAAUCGUCCAUUGACUUGGACAACUUAAUUGACCAUUUGACCUCAAAUCAGGUAGGACUACCCGCUGAACUUAAGCAUAUCAAUAAGCGGAGGAAAAGAAACUAACAAGGAUUCCCCUAGUAACUGCGAGUGAAGCGGGAAAAGCUCAAAUUUAAAAUCUGGCGGUCCUUGCGGUCGUCCGAGUUGUAAUUUAGAGAAGUGUUAUCCGCGCUGGACCGUAUACAAGUCUCCUGGAAUGGAGCGUCAUAGAGGGUGAGAAUCCCGUCUUUGAUACGGACUACCAGGGCUUUGUGAUGCGCUCUCGAAGAGUCGAGUUGUUUGGGAAUGCAGCUCAAAAUGGGUGGUAAAUUCCAUCUAAAGCUAAAUAUUGGCGAGAGACCGAUAGCGAACAAGUACCGUGAGGGAAAGAUGAAAAGAACUUUGGAAAGAGAGUUAAACAGUACGUGAAAUUGUUGAAAGGGAAACGCUUGAAGUCAGUCGCGUUGGCUGGGGAUCAACCUUGCUUUUUUGCAUGGCGUACUUCCUAGUCGAUGGGUCAGCAUCAGUUUUGAUUGUUGGAUAAAGGUCAGGGGAAUGUGGCAUCUUCGGAUGUGUUAUAGCCCUUGGUCGUAUACAGCAGUUGGGACUGAGGAACUCAGCACGCCGCAAGGCCGGGUACUUGUACCACGUACGUGCUUAGGAUGCUGGCAUAAUGGCUUUAAUCGACCCGUCUUGAAACACGG
rnacentral:rRNA from 1 species